rnacentral:rRNA from 1 species
AACGAACGCUGGCGGCGUGCCUAAUACAUGCAAGUCGAGCGAGAAAGCCUCUUCGGAGGUGAGUAAAGCGGCGCACGGGUGAGUAACACGUGGGCAACCUACCCUUGAGUCUGGGAUAACCCGGGGAAACUCGGGCUAAUACCAGAUACGGCUGCGGGGUCUUCGGAUCCUGUGGAGAAAGAUGGCCUCUUCUUGAAAGCUAUCUCUCGGGGAUGGGCCCGCGUCCUAUUAGCUAGNGGUGAGGUAACGGCUCACCAAGGCAAAGAUGGGUAGCUGGUCUGAGAGGAUGGCCAGCCACACUGGAACUGAGACACGGUCCAGACUCCUACGGGAGGCAGCAGUAGGGAAUUUUGGGCAAUGGGCGAAAGCCUGACCCAGCAACGCCGCGUGUGGGAUGAAGGCCCUCGGGUCGU